rnacentral:rRNA from 1 species
CACGUAGGGGGCGAGCGUUGUCCGGAUUCAUUGGGCGUAAAGGGCGCGCAGGCGGUCGUGCAAGUCGCGUGUGAAAGCCCCCGGCUCAACUGGGGAGGGUCACGCGAUACUGCUCGACUCGAAGGCAGGAGAGGGAAGUGGAAUUCCCGGUGUAGUGGUGAAAUGCGUAGAUAUCGGGAGGAACACCAGUGGCGAAGGCGACUUCCUGGCCUGUUCUUGACGCUGAGGCGCGAAAGCUAGGGGAGCAAACGGG